rnacentral:rRNA from 1 species
AUUGAACGCUGGCGGCAUGCCUUACACAUGCAAGUCGAACGGUAACAGGUCUUCGGAUGCUGACGAGUGGCGAACGGGUGAGUAAUACAUCGGAACGUGCCCGAUCGUGGGGGAUAACGAGGCGAAAGCUUUGCUAAUACCGCAUACGAUCUACGGAUGAAAGCGGGGGAUCUUCGGACCUCGCGCGGACGGAGCGGCCGAUGGCAGAUUAGGUAGUUGGUGGGAUAAAAGCUUACCAAGCCGACGAUCUGUAGCUGGUCUGAGAGGAUGAUCAGCCACACUGGGACUGAGACACGGCCCAGACUCCUACGGGAGGCAGCAGUGGGGAAUUUUGGACAAUGGGCGAAAGCCUGAUCCAGCCAUGCCGCGUGCAGGAUGAAGGCCUUCGGGUUGUAAACUGCUUUUGUACGGAACGAAAAGCCUCUUUCUAAUAAAGUGGGGUCAUGACGGUACCGUAAGAAUAAGCACCGGCUAACUACGUG